rnacentral:rRNA from 1 species
UCGAGAAUCUUCGGCAAUGGGCGAAAGCCUGACCGAGCGAUGCCGCGUGCGGGAUGAAGGCCCUCGGGUUGUAAACCGCUGUCGUAGGGGAGGAAGGUUCCGUGAAGAGCGGAACUUGACCUAGCCUAGGAGGAAGUACGGGCUAAGUUCGUGCCAGCAGCCGCGGUAACACGAACCGUACGAACGUUAUUCGGAAUUACUGGGCUUAAAGGGUUUGUAGGCGGCCUUAUAAGUCAGGUGUGAAAGCCCUCGGCUCAACCGAGGAAUAGCGCUUGAUACUGUAAGGCUUGAGGGAGACAGGGGUAAGCGGAACUGAUGGUGGAGCGGUGAAAUGCGUUGAUAUCAUCAGGAACACCGGUGGCGAAAGCGGCUUACUGGGUCUCUUCUGACGCUGAGGAACGAAAGCUAGGGUAGCGAACGG